AGAGCAGGCCAAUCACUGAACCAAAGUAGGAAGAAAAUGGUUUGAAGUUGAAGAGGGAAGGUUUAGGGUGGAUGUCAGGGGAAGUUCUUUCCUAUGAGAGCGGUGAGGUGCUGGAACAGCUGCCCAGAGAGGCUGUGGAUGCCCCGUCCAUCCCUGGAGGUGUUCAAGGCCAGGUUGGAUGGGGCCCUGGGCAGCCUGGGCUGCUAUGAAAUGUGGAGGUUGGUGGCCGUGCUUGUGGCAGGGGGUUGGAGCUUCAUGAUCCUUGAGGUCCCUUCCAA